AGUAAUUCUAUUGUUUUACUUGAUCGGAGGGGGGCAGCUGCCCCCUUGGCUAUGCCCGUGUACAUCCCAGUGAGUUCAGUGAGGUUUGCUUCCCAGCCUUGCACACUUAAUCAUUCGCUGCUAAAACAAGAAGCGGAGGAGCAGAGUGAUCACAACACCCAAGUGUUUCCCAGCCUUCCUUUUAUGGAAUGUGGCUGAGCGAGUGUGUGAUGCUUUGUUCUGUGAACUGCGGAGAGGACAAAAAUAGCAUGUAAUCGAGAACUAGAGAAACAGAUCAGACGUUCAGACUGGGAUUGGUUUCCCUCCACUAACGUUUAUGGGCUGGGCGAUUUCCAAAAGCACUUGCAGUUUGUUAGCUAUCAAUCAUCCCUUUGCAUUCCCUCUUCAAAAGUGCCCGAGAACAGAUUGCAGAAUUUUUUGAAACGUGGAGAUGAUUUGUC